UACGGAGGGUGCGAGCUUUGUCCGGAAUCACUGGGCGUAAAGGGCGCGUAGGCGGCCUGGUAAGUAGGGGGUGAAAUCCUGCGGCUUAACCGCAGGGCUGCCUUCUAAACUGUCAGGCUCGAGCACGGUAGAGGCAGAUGGAAUUCCCGGUGUAGCGGUGGAAUGCGUAGAGAUCGGGAAGAACAUCAGUGGCGAAGGCGGUCUGCUGGGCCGUUGCUGACGCUGAGGCGCGACAGCGUGGGGAGCAAACAGG
rnacentral:rRNA from 1 species